rnacentral:rRNA from 1 species
UGUCAUUGUAAUCUCACUACGAUCGACUUUUUGUCUUUCUGUAUGUGGACUUGGAUGCUGCUCGUGAUGACUCACGACUCAUCUGAAAUGCCUGAGUGUACCCCGCUUUGCGGCGUAUUCGGUGUGAUACAUCUUCACCGGAGUUGAUCCUUUCGGGUCGCGUCUGUAAUGGUGUGGCUCUAUGCUUCGAACCGUCUCCAGRAGACAACCUCUGACAAUUUGACCUCAAAUCGGGUGGGACUACCCGCUGAACUUAAGCAUAUCAAUAAGCGGAGGAAAAGAAACUAACAAGGAUUCCCCUAGUAACGGCGAGUGAAGAGGGAAAAGCUCAAAUUUUGAAUCUGGUGUCUUUGACUCCCGAGUUGUAAUCUAGAGAAGUGUUUUCCGUGUCGGACCGUGCACAAGUUCCCUGGAACGGGGCGUCAUAGAGGGUGAGAAUCCCGUAUAUGGCAUGGACURCCGAUGCUUUUGUGAUACACUCUCAACGAGUCGAGUUGUUUGGGAAUGCAGCUCAAAAUGGGUGGUAAAUUCCAUCUAAAGCUAAAUAUUGGCGAGAGACCGAUAGCGAACAAGUACCGUGAGGGAAAGAUGAAAAGCACUUUGGAAAGAGAGUGAAACAGUACGUGAAAUUGUUGAAAGGGAAGCGUUUGAAGUCAGUCGUGUCUGGCGGGAUUCAGCCUGGCUUUUGCCAGGUGUACUUCUCGUCRGACGGGUCAGCAUCAAUUUCGACCGGGGGAAAAAGACGUGCGGAAUGUGGCUGUCUUCGGGCAGUGUUAUAGCCGUGCGUUGUAUGCCUCGGUUGGGAUUGAGGAACGCAGCGCGCCUCAUGGCCAGGGGCUUGCCCCUUGAUACGCGCUUAGGAUGCUGGCAUAAUGGCUUUAAGCGACCCGUCUUGAAACACGGA